ensembl:lncRNA
GCAUUUCACUAUUUGGUCAUUCCAUUUAAUAGAUUGCACUCUCAAUAAAACAGAUAAAGUGUCUAUGCUUGGUUGAGCUUUACAUAGUUUUGACCAGCAUGCGUCACCAGCGCGUGGGGUUUCGAAACUGAAAUUUUUUGCGAAGCAAUCUCUCGCGAUACUUUGAUAGUUACAUAGUAGCACUGUCAUAAAAAAACGAAACAAAAAAAAAAAAAAAAACCGGACCCCGGCAUUGAGGGACAUUACGUUGUUUAAACCCCGAGAGGAAACAACACGCCAGAUUUCAGAGUCGUCUCCUCAGCACAAUUUAACAGUUCAACCCAAAUAUUCAGAUGUGUGCUGCGCAUUUAAUGGAGGACAGUUUCCUGUUCCUGGGAGAGUAGACUACAAUGCCGGCUGUUCUGAAUCACAAUCUGUAAGACAUGCAUCUGAGUAUGUUAAGGGCAUAACAUUUCCGUCACACGCUUGAGGAACUCGGCCAAUCACAACACACUGGAUAGCUGGCCAAUCAGAGCACACUUCGCUUUCAGAACGAUGAGCCCUGGGGCAUAGAGGAGAAACAAUAAUGUAAUUUAUGUGGAAAAUAAGUUUUUUUUUUUUUUUACCCUUGAACCGCAUAAACACAUUUCAUAACACCAAAUACACAAAAUAAUGUUCUUUUUAGCAACAUCAUAUGAACCAUUUAAAAUGCACACACACUUUUUGACAGAGAUCUAAUGUCCUAGUGUUAUUCAGUCUGCGGACGGUACGCUGAUGUUGAUUGACAGGCUCGAAGCACACAACACAGAACGCUAUAGACUAAUUUCAGUGUUUGCAAACCGGUAAGGUUUUUUUUUUUUUUUUUUUGUGGGCGCUGCCUAUCUGGUGAAAAAUUGCCAGUUUUAA